rnacentral:rRNA from 1 species
AUGAAGGGGCGCAACUGUAAUCCUGCUUUGCCUCUCGGCAUUGCUGUUCUUGUGCUAAUCCUAGCAUCCAUCUCCCCGGCUUCUUCGCAGCAGCAAGUCAGCUUCAACAUCGGUGGCGGCGCGGCCAAAAAGCCGAGCUCCGGUGGUGGCGCGGGAGCCGGAGGCGGCGACAGCUUUGACCAGUUCAUCGCCAAGAACGUCGAGCACUUUGCCGUCACCGAGCAGAUCUACGCUAGCAAGGCCAAGGCCAGCGGCGGCAAGGUGCUCGACGCGGAGCUGGCGGCGGCCGAGGCCGGCACGGUGAGGUAUGUAGUGAGCCCUGACGGCAAGGGAAAUUUCAAGACCAUCACCGAUGCGAUCAAGGCCGUGCCGGAGAAGAACAAGAAGAGGACCAUCCUCGACAUCAAGCCCGGCACCUACAAGGAGAAGCUGACAAUCCCGAUGUGGAAGCCGUUCAUCACGUUUGUGGGCAACCCGAAGAACCCGCCGGUCAUCACGUGGGACGACACGGCAGGGACGCGCGGCAAGGACGGCAAACCCCUCGGCACCCUCGCCAGCGCCACCGUCGCCGUCGAGGCCGACUACUUCUCGGCCUCCGGUGUCGUAUUCAAGAACCACGCACCAUUGGCAAUGGCGGGCCAAGAGGGCGGGCAAGCGGUGGCGCUGCGGUUGUUCGGCACCGCCUUCUACAACUGCACCAUUGACGGCGGGCAGGACACGCUCUACGACCACAAGGGCCUCCACUACUUUAAGAAUUGCAUCAUCCGAGGGAGCGUCGACUUCAUCUUCGGCUUCGGGAGGUCCCUCUACACGGACUGCACGAUCAUGUCGGUGACGACGGAGAUUGCGGUGCUGACGGCACAGCAGCGGAGCAAGGCCAUCGACGAUAAGGACGCCAUCGAGAGCGGGUUCUCGUUCGUGCGGUGCAAGAUCUUCGGACUGGGCCAGAUCUACCUGGGGAGGGCGUGGGGGGACUCGUCGCGGGUGGUCUACUCCUUCACAGACAUGAGCAAGGAGGUGGUGCCCGUCGGCUGGGACAAAUGGAAGGUCGAGAAGCCAGAUCGGGGUGGUGUAUUCUACGGGGAGUACAAGUGCAGCGGGCCCGGGGCCAUGUCCAACGAGAGGAUCGGGUGGGCGCGGGUGCUCGACGACGCGCAGGCGAGGCCCUUCACCGGCUCGCACUUCGUCUACGGCAACUCCUGGAUCCUACCCCCGCCCAAAAGCAACUUCUAG